ACUUUUCAUAUACAUUUUUUAUACUUUUCAUAUAUCAUUCAUAAUCAUUUAUAAUCUACAUUUUUAUGAAUCAAACUUUUCUGAAUUCUGUAUGUGGAAGACUUUUAGAGUUUGGGGGACUUGGGGGGAAGUUGAGUGUAUUAUGUUUCUUUCCGUGGAGCAGAAUAUACAUUUCAAGAUUGAUUAAGAGCAGAUGUUCUGGAACAGCUAUAUGUACUGUGUAAGUUCUUUGUUUGAGACAGAGAGAGGAAAAAUACAGAGAAGCAGAAGGACGAUCUUUGCUGGUCCACUCUCUCUCCCUUAUGUCUUAUAUAAAUUGGUAAAAUAAAUAACAUAUAUUGGCAGAAUGACUGGUGUCUUUUCAUUAAAUUAAAUAACAAGGGGAAACGAAGAUUUUAAAUCUACAAAAUGGAUGGAUGGAUGGAUGGAUGGAUGGAUGGAUG